rnacentral:rRNA from 1 species
CCGGAGAAUGUUAUCACGGGAGACACACGGCGGGUGCUAACGUCCGUCGUGAAGAGGGAAACAACCCAGACCGCCAGCUAAGGUCCCAAAGUCAUGGUUAAGUGGGAAACGAUGUGGGAAGGCCCAGACAGCCAGGAUGUUGGCUUAGAAGCAGCCAUCAUUUAAAGAAAGCGUAAUAGCUCACUGGUCGAGUCGGCCUGCGCGGAAGAUGUAACGGGGCUAAACCAUGCACCGAAGCUGCGGCAGCGACGCUGAUGCGUUGUUGGGUAGGGGAGCGUUCUGUAAGCCUGCGAAGGUGACCUGUGAGGGUUGCUGGAGGUAUCAGAAGUGCGAAUGCUGACAUAAGUAACGAUAAAGCGGGUGAAAAGCCCGCUCGCCGGAAGACCAAGGGUUCCUGUCCAACGCUAAUCGGGGCAGGGUGAGUCGACCCCUAAGGCGAGGCCGAAAGGCGUAGUCGAUGGGAAACGGGUUAAUAUUCCCGUACUUGGUGUUACUGCGAAGGGGGGACGGAGAAGGCUAUGUUGGCCGGGCGACGGUUGUCCCGGUUUAAGCGUGUAGGUGUGUGUUCCAGGUAAAUCCGGUUCACUUUAACACUGAGGCGUGACGACGAGGCACUACGGUGCUGAAGCAACAAAUGCCCUGCUUCCAGGAAAA